rnacentral:lncRNA from 1 species
AGUGGGAAUUGAACCCGCAUCCUUUGCUUACAAUAAAGUUUUUCAACCACUAGAACAUGUGUUUCAAUUGUUAUUAAAGUGUUAAGUAUAAGGUCAAUUGUAAACAACACAGCAACCCUUUACAAGUGUUAAGUGUCUAAAGGUACCUACACUUAGACAAUCAACACAACAAAUAUGUAUCAUCGACAAAAUUUGUUGGGCAUCCAGAAAGCUCGGAAGAAACAUGAGUCAUAAUGACCAGAGAUCACAAAAGAGGAAUAUGUCACAUCUUCACCCAAAAUCUUAAAAUAUUAGAUUAAUGAUCAAAACUUAAUCACUCAUGUUUAAAUCCCAACAAAAGUUUCACCCAUAAAUAAUUUACACCACUAUAUUAUAUGCAAAACAUAAAUAUAUAUUAGCUAUAUAUAUAUUAUAUACUAUAGGCUUAACUACACAUUUGGUCCCUUACGUUUAUUUUAGGUUUCAAUUUGGUCCCUUACGUUUAUUUUAGGUUUCAAGUUAGUCAUUUCCGUUAGUUUUGUCACUAACACCGUUUGAACAGUACACGUGUCAGUGUGUCCAAGUGCCACGUGUCAGUCCACAUAUGCAAAUUGGCUGCCACAUGUGACAAAAUUGACGGAAAAGACUAACUUGAAACCUAAAAUAAACGUAAGGGACCAAAUUGAUACUUUUUAAACGUAAGGGACCAAAUUGAAAUCUAAAAUAAACGUAAGGUACCAAAUGUGUAGUUAAGCCUAUACUAUACUAUAGAUAAUGUAGUGAAAUCACGUUAUUAUUUAUUAUAAUGGCAAUAAACAAGACAAAUAGUUGUUAUUGACGAUAGCAUUUAUCUUGUGUUGUUCAGCUUGUCCUGUUAAAAUAAUAN